GACGUAGGUGGCGAACGUUAUCCGGAAUCAUUGGGCGUAAAGGGUGCGUAGAUGGCCUGAUAAGUUAGCAGUGGGAAAUCGAGGCUCAACCUCGUGGAAGCUGGUAAUACUGUUAGGCUCGAGUGCAGGAGAAGUUAAUGGAACUCCAUGUGGAGCGGUAAAAUGUGUAGAUAUAUGGAAGAACAUCAAUAACGGCGAAGGCAGUUAACUAUUCUGUUACUGACGUUGAGGCACGAAAGCGUGGGGAGCAAAACGG
rnacentral:rRNA from 1 species